rnacentral:rRNA from 1 species
GAUUAAGUUAUUAAGGGCGCACGGUGGAUGCCUUGGCACUAGAAGCCGAUGAAGGACGUUACUAACGACGAUAUGCUUUGGGGAGCUGUAAGUAAGCUUUGAUCCAGAGAUUUCCGAAUGGGGAAACCCAGCAUGAGUUAUGUCAUGUUAUCGAUAUGUGAAUACAUAGCAUAUCAGAAGGCACACCCGGAGAACUGAAACAUCUUAGUACCCGGAGGAAGAGAAAGAAAAUUCGAUUCCCUUAGUAGCGGCGAGCGAAACGGGAAGAGCCCAAACCAACAAGCUUGCUUGUUGGGGUUGUAGGACACUCUGUACGGAGUUACAAAGGACGACAUUAGACGAAUCAUCUGGAAAGAUGAAUCAAAGAAGGUAAUAAUCCUGUAGUCGAAAAUGUUGUCUCUCUUGAGUGGAUCCUGAGUACGACGGAGCACGUGAAAUUCCGUCGGAAUCUGGGAGGACCAUCUCCUAAGGCUAAAUACUCUCUAGUGACCGAUAGUGAACCAGUACCGUGAGGGAAAGGUGAAAAGCACCCCGGAAGGGGAGUGAAAUAGAACCUGAAACCGUGUGCUUACAAGUAGUCAGAGCCCGUUAAUGGGUGAUGGCGUGCCUUUUGUAGAAUGAACCGGCGAGUUACGAUUUGAUGCAAGGUUAAGCAGUAAAUGUGGAGCCGUAGCGAAAGCGAGUCUGAAUAGGGCGUUUAGUAUUUGGUCGUAGACCCGAAACCAGGUGAUCUACCCUUGGUCAGGUUGAAGUUCAGGUAACACUGAAUGGAGGACCGAACCGACUUACGUUGAAAAGUGAGCGGAUGAACUGAGGGUAGCGGAGAAAUUCCAAUCGAACCUGGAGAUAGCUGGUUCUCUCCGAAAUAGCUUUAGGGCUAGCCUCAAGUGAUGAUUAUUGGAGGUAGAGCACUGUUUGGACGAGGGGCCCCUCUCGGGUUACCGAAUUCAGACAAACUCCGAAUGCCAAUUAAUUUAACUUGGGAGUCAGAACAUGGGUGAUAAGGUCCGUGUUCGAAAGGGAAACAGCCCAGACCACCAGCUAAGGUCCCAAAAUAUAUGUUAAGUGGAAAAGGAUGUGGCGUUGCCCAGACAACUAGGAUGUUGGCUUAGAAGCAGCCAUCAUUUAAAGAGUGCGUAAUAGCUCACUAGUCGAGUGACACUGCGCCGAAAAUGUACCGGGGCUAAACAUAUUACCGAAGCUGUGGAUUGUCCUUUGGACAAUGGUAGGAGAGCGUUCUAAGGGCGUUGAAGCAUGAUCGUAAGGACAUGUGGAGCGCUUAGAAGUGAGAAUGCCGGUGUGAGUAGCGAAAGACGGGUGAGAAUCCCGUCCACCGAUUGACUAAGGUUUCCAGAGGAAGGCUCGUCCGCUCUGGGUUAGUCGGGUCCUAAGCUGAGGCCGACAGGCGUAGGCGAUGGAUAACAGGUUGAUAUUCCUGUACCACCUAUAAUCGUUUUAAUCGAUGGGGGGACGCAGUAGGAUAGGCGAAGCGUGCGAUUGGAUUGCACGUCUAAGCAGUAAGGCUGAGUAUUAGGCAAAUCCGGUACUCGUUAAGGCUGAGCUGUGAUGGGGAGAAGACAUUGUGUCUUCGAGUCGUUGAUUUCACACUGCCGAGAAAAGCCUCUAGAUAGAAAAUAGGUGCCCGUACCGCAAACCGACACAGGUAGUCAAGAUGAGAAUUCUAAGGUGAGCGAGCGAACUCUCGUUAAGGAACUCGGCAAAAUGACCCCGUAACUUCGGGAGAAGGGGUGCUCUUUAGGGUUAACGCCCAGAAGAGCCGCAGUGAAUAGGCCCAAGCGACUGUUUAUCAAAAACACAGGUCUCUGCUAAACCGUAAGGUGAUGUAUAGGGGCUGACGCCUGCCCGGUGCUGGAAGGUUAAGAGGAGUGGUUAGCUUCUGCGAAGCUACGAAUCGAAGCCCCAGUAAACGGCGGCCGUAACUAUAACGGUCCUAAGGUAGCGAAAUUCCUUGUCGGGUAAGUUCCGACCCGCACGAAAGGCGUAACGAUUUGGGCACUGUCUCAACGAGAGACUCGGUGAAAUCAUAGUACCUGUGAAGAUGCAGGUUACCCGCGACAGGACGGAAAGACCCCGUGGAGCUUUACUGUAGCCUGAUAUUGAAAUUCGGCACAGCUUGUACAGGAUAGGUAGGAGCCUUUGAAACGUGAGCGCUAGCUUACGUGGAGGCGCUGGUGG